rnacentral:lncRNA from 1 species
CUAAGAUCUAUUCGCAAGCUCCGACUGAAUUAUCCCAUCUGAAAGUUAUGGCUUUCAAAUCACAGCCUAUUUCCUCAAGAGAGGGAUACGCCUUCGCUGCAUCAGGAGCACACAGAAUGCUGAACUCUGUGUAUUCCCUGACAGAUUUGUGGUUUGUGUCAGUCAGCUUGCAUUCAGUCGUGAUCUUUUAGCAAGUCAGAAUGAAGAUUUGGAUAACCAGAGCACCAUUGCCUGCUUCCUUCUUCCUGAAGGAAGGGGAAAAUCCACCCUUCACAAUUAAAGUCCUGGCACUGAGCCACAUCCAGAGGAGGCUGAUCUAUGCCCUCCCAAUACCAGGGGUGUCCCAGACAGAAGCAUCUGGCAGCUACCCAAGGAAUUCUGGGGUCCUGCAGAAUCCAAGUUUACAAACCACCAGAACAAGGUUUUGCUUCAGGAUAGUGUUUGACUCCACUGCUGCGAAAUGACUGUCUCCUGGCUAGUAGGAUCUAGAUUUCUCCCUCCCUUUGACCCCACCUUGUGGAAACCCAGCUGUCUACUGGCAGACAUUGGUGAGAAAGCGGAGCUACGCUAGGGCAGGGAGAUGUCAUGGAAACCUCAACUCUUCGCUGUCCGGGUCCUUCAGGCCACCUCCCCAAUGAGCC